GCCAACGUGGUGGAGUGCUUUGAGCACUGGACUAUGACUCUGGAGACCAGGGUUCAAAUCCCUGCUUAGCCA
rnacentral:tRNA from 1 species